AGUCGUAACAAGGUUUCCGUAGGUGAACCUGCGGAAGGAUCAUUACAGAGUAUCAUGCCCUCACGGGUAGAUCUCCACCCUUGAAUAACAUACCUUUGUUGCUUUGGCAGGACGCACUCGUGCCAGGGGCUUCGGCUCUUGAGUGCCUGCCAGAGGACCACAACUCUUGUUUUUAGUGAUGUCUGAGUACUAUAUAAUAGUUAAAACUUUCAACAACGGAUCUCUUGGUUCUGGCAUCGAUGAAGAACGCAGCGAAAUGCGAUAAGUAAUGUGAAUUGCAGAAUUCAGUGAAUCAUCGAAUCUUUGAACGCACAUUGCGCCCUUUGGUAUUCCGAAGGGCAUGCCUGUUCGAGCGUCAUUACAACCACUCAAGCUCACGCUUGGUAUUGGGGUUCGCACAUCAGCGGCCCCUAAAAACAGUGGCGGUGCUCUUAAGCUCUACGCGUAGUAAUUCUCUCGCUAUAGAUCUUAAGGGUGUCUUGCCAGCAACCCCCAAUUUUUAUCAGGUUGACCUCGGAUCAGGUAGGGAUACCCGCUGAACUUAAGCAUAUCAAUAAGCGGAGGAAAAGAAACCAACAGGGAUUACCUCAGUAACGGCGAGUGAAGCGGUAACAGCUCAAAUUUGAAAUCUGGCUCUUUCAGGGUCCGAGUUGUAAUUUGUAGAAGAUGCUUCGAGUAUAGCUUUGGUCUAAGUUCCUUGGAACAGGACGUCAUAGAGGGUGAGAAUCCCGUAUGUGACUAGGCGCUUUUGCUCAUGUGAAGCUCUUUCGACGAGUCGAGUUGUUUGGGAAUGCAGCUCAAAAUGGGUGGUAAAUUUUAUCUAAAGCUAAAUAUUGGCCAGAGACCGAUAGCGCACAAGUAGAGUGAUCGAAAGAUGAAAAGCACUUUGGAAAGAGAGUUAAACAGUACGUGAAAUUGUUGAAAGGGAAGCGCUUGCAACCAGACUUGCACGCUGUCGAUCAUCCGGGCUUCUGUCCGGUGCACUCGGCUGCGUUCAGGCCAGCAUCGGUUUCGGUGGUGGGAUAAAGGCCUUGGGAAUGUAGCUUCUUUCGGGGAGUGUUAUAGCCCUCGGUGCAAUGCCGCCUAUCGGGACCGAGGACCGCGCUUCGGCUAGGAUGCUGGCGUAAUGGUUGUAAGCGACC
rnacentral:rRNA from 1 species